GGAUGUAUAGGGGGUGACGCCUGACCGAUGCGAGAAGGUUAAAGGUGGGGGUGC
rnacentral:rRNA from 1 species